rnacentral:rRNA from 1 species
GGAAUAUUGGUCAAUGGGCGCAAGCCUGAACCAGCCAUGCCGCGUGCAGGAUGACGGUCCUAUGGAUUGUAAACUGCUUUUGUACGAGCAGAAACACUACUUCGUGAAGUAGCUUGUCGGUAUCGUAAGAAUAAGGAACGGCUAACGCAGUGCAAGCAGCCGCGGUAAUACGGAGGAUCCAAGCGUUAUCCGGAAUCAUUGGGUUUAAAGGGUCCGUAGGCGGUCUUAUAAGUCAGUGGUGAAAUCUCCCCGCUCAACGGGGAAACUGCCAUUGUUACUGUAGGACUUGAAUAAUUAGGAAGUAACUAGAAUAUGUAGUGUAGCGGUGAAAUGCUUAGAGAUUACAUGGAAUACCAAUUGCGAAGGCAGGUUACUACUAAUUCAUUGACGCUGAUGGACGAAAGCGUGGGUAGCGAAC